rnacentral:lncRNA from 1 species
UACAGAAAAAAAAAAUAUAAUUAUGAAUAAUUACACAAGUAAAUUAACUUCAAAAAUUACACAACUAACAUAAAUUAAACGUAAUAAAUUAACAAUUAAACUAAACUAAACAACACAAAAAUACAAUUAAACAAAACAUAGAUAAUAAACAAGAUGUGUUAUAAGCUGGAGCUCUGUUUAUUCAUCCUGAAAAAUAAGCAAUUCUAUUUAAUAAGUUUCUCUCUAUAAAUAAGCAAUUCAAUAAAAGAAAAGGAAAAUUAGUUUAUCACAAAUCUUGUUCCAGCUCCAGCUUCAGCUUCAACUUCAACUUAUCACAAAUCCUUCGUUCUCCAUUCCCCAUCCUCAGUCCCUAUUCUCCGGUCCUGUCUCUUCAUCUUCACCUCGUUUCACUUUUUUAACAGAGAUGACUUAUAAGAGAAAAUACAAAAGAAAAAGAUGGAGAUAGAGAGAUUAGCUCUCAGAUUAGCGACCCAUUCUAUUCUUCUCCUCUUUUUCUUUUAUUCCUAAUUUGGAUCGGAGAUAUGGUUUGUGAUGGACUGAUUUUAUUUUAUUUUUAAUUUAGUCAUGGUUGAACUUUAGAUCUGGAUUUUUAUUUUAAGUAUAUAUGUAUAAAUGUUGUUUUUUAGAUCGGAUAAGGAUGGCUUUGUGGCUAGCGACGAUUCCUAAGCACAAUAAUGUAAUAUUUUGACUCUAAAAUGUGAAUUUUGAAGAUGAGCGGCGAAUAAGGAGAAUUCAAGUUGGAGCUCUUUGAUCGAAUUUCAGUGAGUCUCUUUGAUCGAAUUCUGAAAGUUUUGGAAGCUUGAUUUGUUUAAUUUUAAUCAAUGUAUGGGUUUGUGACCAUUUUAUUCUUAAUUGCUUAAUCAAUAAAUAAAAUAUUAUUUUUUUAUUACAAGUCAGUUGAUUAACGGUCCACUCAGAUAGUAAUAUCAGUAAUUUUUGACAGAUUCAAUUUAUUGUAAUUAAAAAAAAAUUAAUUAUUUAAUUGAUAAAAUUAAAAAAUAAAUCACUAAAAUAAAAUAUAGUCUAUAAUAUUAAUUUAUAUUUAAACCAAAUAAAAAAAUAUACAAUAUAAGACUUUCG